rnacentral:tRNA from 1 species
GGGGAUGUAGCUCAGUUGGUUAGAGCGCCGCCCUGUCAAGGCGGAGGUCGCGAGUUCGAGUCUCGUCAUUCCCG